GAGAGGAGGUGGAAAGGAACGGAGACAAGACAAGAGGAGGAGAGGAGGACGUUGCAAGCUGAACCAAACUUCAGAAACUCCCAGAAGUCAGCGUCACCUGGCUACAAUGACUUUUGAAGCCAUCAAACAGUAAACGUGUGUUUGAAAUAAAAAGUCAAAACAAGA